ensembl:snoRNA SNORD58 Small nucleolar RNA SNORD58
CUGCAGUGAUGCGUUUCUUAGGACACCUUUGGAUUUACCAUGAAAACUAAUCAGUUCUGAGCAGU